rnacentral:lncRNA from 1 species
AGGCUCUGAAUGGGAUAGGAACUCCACAGAAAGGCCAGCAGAGCCAACUAACCCGGACACUUUGGGACUCUCAGAGACUGAGCCACCAAACUAAGAGUAUACACGGGCUGAACAUGGUCACAUGUGUGACAGAUGCAGUUCGGUUUUCAUGUGGAUCCUUCAACUGGAGCAAGGGUUGUCCCUGUGGAAUCCUUUCCCCUAACUCGGCGGCCUUGUGCGACCUCAGUGGGAGAGGAUGUACCUAACCCUGCAAAGACUUCAUGUGCCAGGGACAGGGUAGCUACCUAGAGGAGAUCUCCACCCUCUCAGAGAAAGGGAUGGGGGAGGAGCUGUGGGAGAGGCAUACCAGGAGGGGGGCCCCCAGUCAGGAUGUAAAAUGAAUAAAUAAAUUAAUUAAUAUAAAAAGUCAUCUAAAAAAUUAAGGAAUUUUUGGAUGGGAAACCUUCAGGGACCCCGACCAAGAAUUUGUUUAACCUAACCAAGUUUCUGUCCUUGGUGUCCUUGUAGUUGGACUUGUCUGAGCUGUCUUCCCCAGGACGCUAUGACCUUGGACUUUGUGAGCCCAACAAACGGGAACUAACAGUAUCUAGGGUGGUGUAGAAGACUCCUACCUUCCAGGGCCUGCAAGAAAAAAAAUCAAGCCCUUUCAAAAGAAAAUUACAUUUUCUUCUGACCUUUGAAAACAAAUCCCUGUUUGUUGUUCAGGUUCCAUGGAAGAGUGUGGGGCCUGACUUUAAUAAAAACAGGUGGAUUAUAAAACCUA